GGCCGUUUUGUCCUGAGGGCCAGAGAAAGGGAGAAGGGGGUGGGGGGACAGCCACGUGGCCGCAGGAGGAUUUACAACAUUUUCUCUCGCCAUCGAUGUUAUCGCAAAAUGUGUGAGAGAAGCGGCUGCGCAGCCCGGACGGGAGCGUGAGGGCGCGGGCCAGGUAAGCAGCCCCGGCGGUUUCGCCGCGUACGGGACUGCGGGGCGACCGCGGGCACCAGCCACGCGCAGCGGCUCCGCGGGGUCUCGGCCGGGUCCGCGCUCUGAAGGAUCUCGAGUGCCAUGGGUGGUGCAGGCGGGACCCUCGAGCUGCAGCAUCUCCGGUGACCCGGGGUUGCCGAGGAGGUGGAGACCAGCACAGGUGGUGCGGCCCGGGCGCCUCCGAAUCCGGGGGUGGUCAAGACGGAUCCCCAAGGCUGAGGUCGGCAGUCCCGGGGACUCGCAGCUGUUGAGCCUGUGGAGACGCGGCCUCGUGACCGAGGCACCCUUCAGCAACCCGGGGGCAGCGUUUUCCCCCUACCGGAAAUCUGAUGGGCUUAUGACAUCAUGGCUGGCUGCUGAGCGAUGAAGUGGAUGCCACAAAGAAAUCCGACAUAUCAGAUAGAUUCUGAAAUCGGUUUCCCUCCAGCUGUAGUAACAGGCGUGAAGUCAGGAGAAUUUGAGCUUUGUUUAAAAAAUAAAUAAAUAAACCAUAACAAAGUCUUGCCCUGUAUUAAAUGCAAUUUUCUUAAAAACAAGCAAACCUUUUG
rnacentral:lncRNA from 1 species